rnacentral:rRNA from 1 species
GCGGCGGACGGGUGAGUAACACGUGGGUAACCUACCUAUAAGACUGGGACAACUUCGGGAAACCGGAGCUAAUACCGGAUAAUAUGUUGAACCGCAUGGUUCAAUAGUGAAAGAUGGUUUUGCUAUCACUUAUAGAUGGACCCGCGCCGUAUUAGCUAGUUGGUGGGGUAACGGCUCACCAAGGCAACGAUACGUAGCCGACCUGAGAGGGUGAUCGGCCACACUGGAACUGUGACACGGUCCAGACUCCUACGGGAGGCAGCAGUAGGGAAUCUUCCGCAAUGGGCGAAAGCCUGACGGAGCAACGCCGCGUGAGUGAUGAAGGUCUUAGGAUCGUAAAACUCUGUUAUUAGGGAAGAACAAACGUGUAAGUAACUGUGCACGUCUUGACGGUACCUAAUCAGAAAGCCACGGCUAACUACGUGCCAGCAGCCGCGGUAAUACGUAGGUGGCAAGCGUUAUCCGGAAUUAUUGGGCGUAAAGCGCGCGUAGGCGGUUUUUUAAGUCUGAUGUGAAAGCCCACGGCUCAACCGUGGAGGGUCAUUGGAAACUGGAAAACUUGAGUGCAGAAGAGGAAAGUGGAAUUCCAUGUGUACGGUGAAAUGCGCAGAGAUAUGGAGGAACACCAGUGGCGAAGGCGACUUUCUGGUCUGUAACUGACGCUGAUGUGCGAAAGCGUGGGGAUCAAACAGGAUUAGAUACCCUGGUAGUCCACGCCGUAAACGAUGAGUGCUAAGUGUUAGGGGGUUUCCGCCCCUUAGUGCUGCAGCUAACGCAUUAAGCACUCCGCCUGGGGAGUAC